UUGGGUUUGUGGUACAUGUGUGUGGCACCAGCAGCAGCAUGGAGGAGCAGGACUGCCAGGAUGCUCUCUUUACAUGCCAUGCACGUUUUAUCCUUUAUUGCCGUUCGGCAUUAGAACAGGGAUUUUGUCAGAUUAAAGCAAAUAAAGGGCGUGGCAUGGUGUGUGGCAUGGCGUGGCGUGUGCUUUCUGUUUGCACCCAACAUUCUUCUCACAUUCGAACUGCCAACUGCCGGGCGAGCGUCGAUGAUGCCACAAGUUUAAAUCGUUGUGCAUGCCCUGUAAAUGAUGGGCAAGGGUAUGCCACACCAGCAGAUGGUAGAGCUGCAGGCUGCAAAUGAGACACAAAAUGCCAGGCUAAAGGGCAAACCUUCAGUCGAGUUGCUCAAAUGCUCAAAAUGUACAAUUUCCUAACUUGUUUUUUUUUGGGAACAUUCUUCGGCUUAAGCUGUUGUGUGCAUGUGUGUGACAGAGUCUAUCUAUGUGAAUGGUAUUGUAUGUGUGUGUGUGUGUGUGUGUGUGAGUGUUUUGUGGUGUAGCCUCUCGGGAGGGGAUCUAUCUGCUGGUACGGACAGGAUAUAUGCCAGGUCCCAGCCCUGCCCUGCCCUGCCCUGCUCUGCCCACCACACAACUUUGUGGCUUUUCACUUCAUUCCAAUUGACAAGAGCAAAUAGAUUCCACUACUAACAAGAAACUGUCGAAGUAACGAAGAACCAUUAAAAACAGUGUAAAUAUCGUAAAAGCAAAGGAAAAGCAGAGAAAACUUCGAGCAAGUCCAGCCGAAAGGUAUUAA